rnacentral:rRNA from 1 species
GACGAACGCUGGCGGCGUGCUUAACACAUGCAAGUCGAACGGAAAGGCCCUGCUUUUGUGGGGUGCUCGAGUGGCGAACGGGUGAGUAACACGUGAGUAACCUGCCCUUGACUUUGGGAUAACUUCAGGAAACUGGGGCUAAUACCGGAUAGGAGCUCCUGCUGCAUGGUGGGGGUUGGAAAGUUUCGGCGGUUGGGGAUGGACUCGCGGCUUAUCAGCUUGUUGGUGGGGUAGUGGCUUACCAAGGCUUUGACGGGUAGCCGGCCUGAGAGGGUGACCGGCCACAUUAGGACUGAGAGACGGCCCAGACGCGUACGGGAGGCAGCAGUGGGGAGUAUUGCACAAUGGGCCGAAGCCUGAUGCAGCAGCGCCGCGUGCGGGAUGACGGCCUUCGGGUUGUAAACCGCUGUCGCCUGUGACGAAGCGGGAGUGACGGUAAUGGGUAAAGAAGCACCGGCUAACUACGUG